CGUGAGAUGUUGGGUUAAGUCCCGCAACGAGCGCAACCCUUAUCCUAUGUUGCCAGCGCGUUAUGGCGGGGACUCGUGGGAGACUGCCGGGGUCAACUCGGAGGAAGGUGGGGACGACGUCAAGUCAUCAUGCCCCUUAUGUCCAGGGCUGCAAACAUGCUACAAUGGCCGGUACAAAGGGCUGCUAUACCGUGAGGUGGAGCGAAUCCCAGAAAGCCGGUCUCAGUUCGGAUUGAAGUCUGCAACUCGACUUCA
rnacentral:rRNA from 1 species